rnacentral:rRNA from 1 species
GACGAACGCUGGCGGCGUGCCUAACACAUGCAAGUCGAGCGAAGUUAUUCCUUCGGGAAUAACUUAGCGGCGGACGGGUGAGUAACACGUGGGUAACCUGCCUUAUAGAGGGGGAUAGCCUUCCGAAAGGAAGAUUAAUACCGCAUAACAUUGAGCUUUCGCAUGGAAGCUUAAUCAAAGGAGUAAUCCGCUAUAAGAUGGACCCGCGGCGCAUUAGCUAGUUGGUGAGGUAACGGCUCACCAAGGCGACGAUGCGUAGCCGACCUGAGAGGGUGAUCAGCCACAUUGGGACUGAGACACGGCCCAGACUCCUACGGGAGGCAGCAGUGGGGAAUAUUGCACAAUGGGGGAAACCCUGAUGCAGCAACGCCGCGUGAGUGAUGAAGGCCUUCGGGUUGUAAAGCUCUGUCUUUGGGGACGAUAAUGACGGUACCCAAGGAGGAAGCCACGGCUAACUACGUGCCAGCAGCCGCGGUAACAC